CAGAAUGGAAGUGUUCAUUAUUUGAUGAUUGUUCUUUUUUCAUGUUUUCAUUGUUUGCAUUAUUUUCUUCUCCAUGGUCUGAUAGACAUUGCAAUAAAUAAAGGAUGGAAU
rnacentral:ribozyme from 13 species